rnacentral:rRNA from 1 species
GUACACUCCUACGGGAGGCAGCAGUGGGGAAUUUUACGCAAUGGGGGAAACCCUGACGUAGCGACACCGCGUGAGCGAAGAAGCCCUUUGGGGUGUAAAGCUCUGUCAGCUGGAACGAAAACAAUGACGGUACCAGCAGAGGAAGCAUCGGCUAACUACGUGCCAGCAGCCGCGGUAAGACGUAGGAUGCGAGCGUUGUCCGGAUUUAUUGGGCGUAAAGAGUUCGUAGGUGGUUUGUUAAGUUUGGUGUUAAAGAUCGGGGCUCAACCCUGGGACUGCACUGAAUACUGGCAGACUCGAGUGUGGUAGAGGCUAGUGGAAUUCCCAGUGUAGCGGUGAAAUGCGUAGAUAUUGGGAAGAACACCGGUGGCGUAGGCGACUAGCUGGGCCAUAACUGACGCUGAGGAACGAAAGCCAGGGGAGCGAAUGGGAUUAGAAACCCGUGUAGUCCCAUGA